rfam:Toxocara canis scaffold830, whole genome shotgun sequence.
UGGGCAGUAACUCAGUGGUUGAGCUCUCGCUUCGUACGAGAGAAGACCUGGGUUCGAUUCCCGGCUGCUUGC